rnacentral:lncRNA from 1 species
CCACCAUGGGCUCAGGCAAUUUAUGAAAGCCAAAUAUACAGCCUUAAAAUAGAAUGUGGACCUAAAUACCCAGAAGAACUCCCCUUUGUAAGAUUUGUAACAAAAAUUAAUAUGAGUAGAGUUAAUAGUUCUAAUGGAAUGGUGAACCCAAGAGCCAUAUCAGCGCUAGCAAAAUGGCAGAAUUCAUAUAUCAUCAAAGUUAUCCUUCAAGAGCUUCAGCGCCUAAUGAUGUCUAAAGAAAAUGUGAAACACCCUCAGCCAUCUGAAGGACAGUGUUACAGCAAU